rnacentral:rRNA from 1 species
GACGUAGGGUGCAAGCGUUGUCCGGAUUUACUGGGCGUAAAGAGCGCGUAGGCGGCUCGUUAAGUGAGAAGUGAAAGCUCUUGGCUCAACCAAGAAACCGCUUUUCAUACUGGCGAGCUGGAGUGAUGCAGAGGUGGAUAGAAUUCCCGGUGUAGCGGUGAAAUGCGUUGAUAUCGGGAGGAAUACCCGUGGCGAAGGCGGUCCACUGGGCAUCAACUGACGCUGAGGCGCGAAAGCGUGGGUAGCAAAC